AACUCCGCGGCGGCGGGCGGCCACGUGACUGCAGCUCCGCUCCCACCUCGGCCCGCGCCCCUUCCCCGCCCCAGCUUUCUUCCCGCCAGGCCCCCUCCACCCGAUCGCCGCGCGCUCUCCGAACCAAAAGGCGACCUCACGAAAUGCCCCUUUGAGCUCAAAGGCUAGUUACCCCCAGGGGCCCUUCCACUCUCGGGGACAGGCGAAACCUCUUUGUCUCUGCCUCGGCCUGCGGCCCCCAGCCCAGCCUCCGCGCUUUCCCUCCGCCAGUCCUUGUCAAUCAAACCUGGUGCCAAACGCGGCAGCUGAAGUUUUCAGGGACACAUUUGCUUCUCCCCUUGAAGAACCAGUUACAAAGCGUGAUGUCCUCUCUGGGGUCCCAUCAGAACAAAGAAACAGGCUGUACAAGAAGCAUGAUGCCAGCAUCUGCUUCUGGUGACAACCUCAAGAAGUUUACAAUUGGCCGCGUGCGGUGGCUCAUGCCUGUAAUGCCAGCACUUCGGGAGGCGGAGACAGAUGGAUCAUUUGAGGUCAGGAGUUCGAGACCAGGCUGGCCA
rnacentral:lncRNA from 10 species